rnacentral:rRNA from 1 species
AGGACGAACGCUGGCGGCGUGCUUAACACAUGCAAGUCGAACGGUGAAGCCUUUCGGGGUGGAUCAGUGGCGAACGGGUGAGUAACACGUGGGCAAUCUGCCCUGCAUUCUGGGACAAGCCUUGGAAACGAGGUCUAAUACCGGAUACGACGCAUCCCCGCAUGGGGUGUGCGUGGAAAGCUCCGGCGAUGCAGGAUGAGCCCACGGCCUAUCAGCUUGUUGGUGGGUGAUGGCCUACCAAGGCGACGAC